GAUGAACGCUGGCGGCGUGCCUAAUACAUGCAAGUCGAGCGAACAGACGAGGAGCUUGCUCCUCUGACGUUAGCGGCGGACGGGUGAGUAACACGUGGAUAACCUACCUAUAAGACUGGGAUAACUUCGGGAAACCGGAGCUAAUACCGGAUAAUAUAUUGAACCGCAUGGUUCAGUAGUGAAAGACGGUUUUGCUGUCACUUAUAGAUGGAUCCGCGCCGCAUUAGCUAGUUGGUAAGGUAACGGCUUACCAAGGCAACGAUGCGUAGCCGACCUGAGAGGGUGGUCGGCCACACGGGAACUGAGACACGGUCCAGACGCCUACGGGAGGCAGCAGUAGGGAAUCUUCCGCAAAGGGCGAAAGCCUGACGGAGCAACGCCGCGUGAGUGAUGAAGGUCUUCGGAUCGUAAAACUCUGUUAUGAGGGAAGAACAAAUGUGUAAGUAACUAUGCACGUCUUGACGGUACCUAAUCAGAAAGCCACGGCUAACUACGUG
rnacentral:rRNA from 1 species